rnacentral:lncRNA from 1 species
AUGGCCUUUGCACGAAACCCACGGCUUUGGUCAAAAGGUUCAACUUCAAAGAGACGGAUUUUCCAAGGGGACGAAGAAUCCAAAGGGGUCUGGAAUGUCUACACUGGGUGCGCUCCUUUGUUCCGGAGGCUUGUUUUCCUUUGCUCCUUCUGCAGCGCCGGGCCGCCUUCGCCCGCGCACCACGCCUCCUUUUUUUGGCUGUCAGAUCACCGGAAAAUCAAUAAAGGUCACUGCCGGUCCCCGGGGGCCUCCCCCCGCUCCCCACCCCCGGAGCCUGCUGAGCCCUCCCCCGGGGUGCAGGGAGACUUGGACACGCAUGCACCUAUGCUUCUGGCCCGCCUGAGCUGGGGGUGCACCUCCUCCAGGCAGGGUUGCAUUGCCCCCGCGGGGUCACUGGGUAUGCACCUGCAGGGGUGCUCCUGGAGGGGUGCUCCUGGAGGGCUGCACCUGCAGGGGUGUGCCCGGAGGGGUGCUCCUGGAGGGGUGCACCUGGAGGGCUGCAUCUGUAGGUGUGUGCCUGCAGGGGUGCUCCUGGAGGGCUGCACCUGCAGGGGUGUGCUUGCAGAGGUGCUCCUGGAGGGGUGCGCCUGGAGGGCUGCAUCUGCAUGUGUGUGCCCGGAGGGGUGCUUCUGGAGGGGUACACCCGGAGGGGUUUGCCUGGAGGGGUGUGCCUGGAGGGGUGUGCCUGCAGGGGUGCUCCUGGAGGGGUGCGCCUGCAUGGGUGUGCCUGGAGGGGUGCGUCCAGAGGGCUGCACCUGCAGGGGUGUGCCCAGAGGAGUGCACCCGGAGGAGUUUACCUGGAGGGGUGUGCCUGGAGGGGUGUUCCUGGAGGGCUGUGCCUGCAGGGGUGCGCCUGGAGGGGUGCUCCUGGAGGGGUGCACCCAGAGGGGUUUGCCUGGAGGGAUGCUCCUGGAGGGGUGCGCCUGCAGGGGUGUUCCUGGAGGGCUGCGCCUGCAGGGGUGUGCCUGGAGGGGUACGUCCAGAGGGCUGCACCUGCAGGGCUGCAUCUGCAGGGGUGCUCCUGGAGGGAUGCUCCUAGAGGGCUGUGCCUGCAGGGGUGCUCCUGGAGGGGUGCGCCUGGAGGGCUGCACCUGCAGGUGUGUGCCCAGAGGGGUGCUCCUGGAGGGGUGCACCCGGAGGGGUUUGCCUGGAGAGGUGUUCCUGGAGGGCUGCGCCUGCAGGGGUGCUCCUAGAGGGAUGCUCCUGGAGGGCUGUGCCUGCAAGGGUGCACCUGGAGGGGUGCGCCUGCACAGAUGUGCCUGGAGGGGUACGUCCAGAGGGCUGCACCUGCAGGGGUGUGCCCAGAGGGGUGCACCCGGAGGGAUUUUCCUGGAGAGGUGCUCCUGGAAGGGUGUUCCUGGAGGGCUGCGCCUGCAGGGGUGUGUCUGGAGGGGUGCGCCUGGAGGGGUGUGCCUGCAGGGCUACACCUGGAGGGCUGCUCCUGGAGGGGUGCUCCUGGAGGGCUGCACCUGGCGGGGUGCACCAAGCGGGCACGGAGCGGGACGCAGUGCCCAGCAGGGGCGCCCAGGCCUUCCGUGGGCACAAACCCCUGGCCAGGGCUCAGGGCAGCAGGCGUUGGCCAGAGAGGACAGGGCCCCCGCCCCCAGGGCUGCUCUGCUGGCGAGGAAGGGGACAGAUGCUCCCCUGAGCAGCCCUGCGUGGAGUCGGGCGCCGCCGAGGGCCUGCAGGUGGGGGUGCGGGUGGGGCGCCCGCUGA